UGAUGGUGGAGAAUUUGGUGAAGCUGCUGCUGUUGCAGAAGAAGCUGAAAGACAAUGUGAAGAGGGAGAAGCAGAUGCCAGUCCUGAUGAUGGCAUAGAUGAUGAUGCUGACUCUGAGUCAGAUGACUAGAACAUUUCUUGUGUUUCUGAUAAUUUCUUGUGUUUUUAUUUUUUUGGUCUGUAAUAUUAAGUGUUGCUUUGGCAACAUUUUUGACAAAAAGGGGGAGUAACACUUGUACCCCAGGACAACAAAUUUCUUUGAAGUUGAAGGUCCUCUAAAC
rnacentral:lncRNA from 1 species